AGAGUUUGAUCCUGGCUCAGAAUGAACGUUGGCGGCGUGGAUUAGGCAUGCAAGUCGAGCGGGUGCAGCAAUGCACCAGCGGCGGAAGGGUGAGUAAGGCGACGGCAACCAACCCCGAGGAUGGGUAUAGCCGCGGGAAACUGCGGGUAAUCCCCAGCGAUGCGAGGGCGUCGGCAUCGACGCUUCGCCAAAUGGAUUCGUCCGCCUCGGGACGGGCCGUCGUGGUAUUAGGUCGUUGGCGGGGUAGCGGCCCACCAAGCCCUCGAUGCCUACCGGGCGUGCGAGCGCGGCCCGGCACACUGGGACUGAGACACUGCCCAGACUCCUACGGGAGGCUGCAGUCGAGAAUCUUCGGCAAUGGGCGCAAGCCUGACCGAGCGACGCCGCGUGGAGGACGAAGGCCUUCGGGUUGUAAACUCCUGUCGAGGGGGAGAAAGGCUCCGCAAGGGGCUUGAUCGAUCCCUGGAGGAAGCACGGGCUAAGUUCGUGCCAGCAGCCGCGGUAAGACGAACCGUGCGAACGUUAUUCGGAAUCACUGGGCUUAAAGCGCGUGUAGGCGGAUCGGAACGUCGAUGCCUGAAAUCCCCCGGC
rnacentral:rRNA from 1 species